rnacentral:rRNA from 1 species
CCUACGGGAGGCAGCAGUGGGGAAUAUUGGACAAUGGGCGAAAGCCUGAUCCAGCAAUGCCGCGUGUGUGAAGAAGGUCUUCGGAUUGUAGAGCACUUUCGACGGGGACGAUGAUGACGGUACCCGUAGAAGAAGCCCCGGCUAACUUCGUGCCAGCAGCCGCGGUAAUACGAAGGGGGCUAGCGCUGCUCGGAAUGACUGGGCGUAAAGGGCGCGUAGGCGGUUUAUGCAGUCAGAUGUGAAAUCCCCGGGCUUAUCCUGGGAACUGCAUUUGAGACGCAUAGACUAGAGGUCGAGAGAGGGUUGUGGAAUUCCCAGUGUAGAGGUGAAAUUCGUAGAUAUUGGGAAGAACAUCGGUGGCGAAGGCGGCAACCUGGCUCGAUACUGACGCUGAGGCGCGAAAGCGUGGGGAGCAAACAGGAUUAGAUACCCCCGUAGUC